rnacentral:rRNA from 1 species
UGAAUACGAGACGCUAAGGCGUCGAAGUAGUGUAUGUCAUACUUCCGAGAAAAGCUUGCACUGUCAUAGAUAAAAAACGCCUGUACCAUAACCGACACAGGUGGGUAGGUAGAGUAUACUAAGGGGCGCGAGAUAACUCUCUCUAAGGAACUCGGCAAAAUAACUCCGUAACUUCGGGAGAAGGAGUGCCUUAUUAUUAAGGCUGCAAUAACAAGAUCCAAGCAACUGUUUAUCAAAAACACAGGUCUCCGCUAAGUCGUAAGACGAUGUAUGGGGGCUGACGCCUGCCCAGUGCCAGAAGGUUAAAGAAGUUGGUCAGCAUUUGCGAAGCUGAUAACUGAAGCCCUGGUGAACGGCGGCCGUAACGAUAACGGUCCUAAGGUAGCGAAAUUCCUUGUCGGGUAAGUUCCGACCCGCACGAAAGGCGUAAUGAUUUGGAUAUUGUCUCGGAGAGGGGCUCGGUGAAAUAGACUUGUCUGUGAAGAUGCGGACUACCUGCACCAGGACAGAAAGACCCUAUGAAGCUUUACUGUAACUUGAAAUUGAAAUUGGACUUUAUUCGCGCAGCAUAGGUGGGAGGCGUUGAUUAUAAUCUUGUGGGAUUAUUGGAGCCAUCAGUGAGAUACCACUCUUGUAAUGUUAGAUUUCUACUUUGAAUCAUUAUCUGGUCAAAGAACAGUUUCAGGCGGGCAGUUUGACUGGGGCGGUCGCCUCCUAAACGGUAACGGAGGCGUACAAAGGUUUCCUCUGAACGGUUAGAAAUCGUAUCUAGAGUGUAAAGGCAUAAGGAAGCUUGACUGUGAGACCUACAAGUCGAGCAGGGACGAAAGUCGGUCUUAGUGAUCUGACGGUACUGAGUGGAAAGGCCGUCACUCAACGGAUAAAAGUUACUCUAGGAUAACAGGCUGAUCUCCCCCAAGAGUUCACAUCGACGGGGAGGUUUGGCACCUCGAUGUCGGCUCAUCGCAUCCUGGGGCGGUAGUACGUCCCAAGGGUUGGGCUGUUCGCCCAUGAAAGCGGUACGCGAGCUGGGUUCAGAACGUCGUGAGACAGUUCGGUCCAUAUCCGGUGUAGGCGUUAGAAUAUUGAGAGGAGCCUUCUUUAGUACGAGAGGACCGAGAAGGACAUACCUCUGGUGUACCAGUUAUCGUGCCAACGGUAAACGCUGGGUAGCUAUGUAUGGAGUGGAUAACCGCUGAAAGCAUCUAAGUGGGAAGCCCACCUCAAGAUAAGUAUUCUC